rnacentral:rRNA from 1 species
UACGUAGGGGGCGAGCGUUGUCCGGAUUUAUUGGGCGUAAAGAGCUUGUAGGCGGUUUGUCGCGUCUGCCGUGAAAAUCCGGGGCUCAACCCCGGACUUGCGGUGGGUACGGGCAGACUAGAGUGUGGUAGGGGAGACUGGAAUUCCUGGUGUAGCGGUGGAAUGCGCAGAUAUCAGGAGGAACACCAAUAGCGAAGGCAGCUCGCUGGGACGGUACUGACGCUGAGGCGCGAAAAGCGUGGGGGAGCGAACAGG